rnacentral:lncRNA from 1 species
CCUGCCUUUUAAUCUAAAUAUACUUAAGUCAAGUCACUCUGAUUGGAUUUCAAACUAAGCUUCGAACAAGCUCGAAUACGUAUUUUAAAAAAAAUUUAAAGCCUAUGCCCAGCUUGAAGCAUCCCCCUUCUUAAAAAGAAAAAAUUCAUGCUAGACUUAGAUAGAGGCAUAGUCUAAUUCCAUUCCAAUUCUACAGUUAUUUCUCGCUAG